GAAGUUCUUCAGCCUGAGCAAUGUGCAGUCACAGAUUCCUUCCUUCUGGGCCUUGGUGACUGUCACUGCUGGUGACACUGCUUCCCUGCAGCAGUGCUCCAUCAACCAUACUAUGCCACUGGCUGGCUUCAGCUCAGCCAUGUGAGGUUGCUGUGAACCUUUGCCUCGAGGAUAAUGAAAUCACUUGAGGAAAAAACACCUCCUCAGCACAUCUGGAUGUGGAAAUGUACUGCCAUCAAAAUUACGGUUAUGGUCAAAUAACUUCAGAACUUGUUAUAUAAGGAAAUGUAUUUGUGCUCUGAACUGAAAGGCAAGGCAUCCCUACUAGAUGAGGCGUUCUGUCACUACUGGAAACUCUCCAGCUGUUGAAUUUUCCACUUAGUUUUUCUCUGACUUGUUUUUGUUCCUUCCUGUGUACCUGACACAAAGGUUGUUUCACUUGUUCGUGUUUACAUGUACCCUGUAGAGAACAAAAAGAAGCAGCGAUGCUCAGUGCAGGAGUGUGGUAAUGGGCAUAUGUGAGAUCAGCUGUUCCUGCCGCACACUAGCAUGACCUUGGGAAAUAUUUAGGCUCUCUGUACUUUAAUCUACUAAAGACUGCUAAAUGAUAAUAGUGUUUCCUCAGCAACGUGAUUGUGAAAGGAAAUGACAGGAUCAUCAUGGCAAGUGAAGGGAUGUAUUUGUGAAAACUAUAUACCGUGCAGAAGAUUUGGUAAAGGGUAUAUCUUCUUCUCUUAAUAGGUUCUUGUUGCCAGGAUGUCUGGAUUAAGAAAUAUGAUUAGCAGUUGCUGUGUAUAGUUCUUUGUUCUUUUUAUUCUUUCAUCUUCCAAAGAAAGUAGAGAAGGGCCAGAAGUUGUUCUUCCUGAAGUGAGAUGUAAGACAGACACCGACUGAAGUGGGAACAGGAAAGGACAAAGUAGUGAGCUGCUGUGCUGCUGCUAGCCUUGUGGGAGCGGGGGUGGCAGCUCUGAGGGUGAGUUAAGAAAAAAAAAAUAUAACAGCACAAAUAGCCCAUGGUAAAAAGGAUAAUAUUUGGCUUGCUUUGCUGAUGCUUUGCUUUUAUCCUUUGUGGAAUAUCCCUAGCAGAGUUGGAUAAAGACUUCUUAAUUCAGUUUUCUUUUGCGUGGUAGUUUUAUUACCAAGCCGGAGCUUAAUCUGAGUCCCCUGGAAACCAAUUAAAGAACUUUCUCUAACUCAGCAGAACCAGAUGAGCUUUGAUAUAUGUGCUUUAUAUAUUUAUAUCCAUCAACUCCCCUCCAGUCAAUGCAUCUCUAUAAAUUCCAAACAGUUGCACAACAUUUUUCUAAACAGCAUCGCUGCAGACUUGAUCCAGGAAGAAUCAUUUUAACCUACAUCCUUUUUAAAGCUUCACACGCUGCUCAGGAAUAUGUCUCAGAUGUUUCUGUGUAUUUAGGGACACUGUAUAUUCUGUUAUUUUUCAUUUGGUAUGGAGGUGUGUGACUUCUCUCGCUCUCUCUCAGUAGUAUUAAACAAUGAGGGUUCUUUUCCUGCAUUUUUCUAGCUGCCCAAUGAUGAGUCUGCAGUGGCAGAUGCUCUGACUUCCAGCUCAGCGGAUUUAUUCUCCUCCAGAAAGAGGGGAUUAGAGAUAAAACAUUGUUCAGUUCUGACAGAACUAAGCAUUUGCAAUAUUUUAAGUUCUAAAUUACUUUUAUGGCACUUGUCUUUGAAAAAUAUUAAUGACCAUGAACUGUUGAAUUUUUAAUUUUUAGAUUUGUUUUGUGAGAGAUAGAAAAAUACAGUUGUGGUUAAGAUUUGUAGCUCAGUUUAAACUGGAUGACCAAACCUUGUGGAAGUUGGUAACGGAGCUGCUGCUGUGCCGAGCUAAGACGUUAUUUCAUUCUGGAAGUCUUUGAAAGUCUGGUGGCUUUCUCAUCCCUGCCAAGGCAUGUAGACUGGCUCAGAGUCUGUACUCCUUUUCCCUUAAAAAAUAGAGUGUGACUUGGGAGUGACUUGGUUUCAUGUUAGUUAAUGUUUUCAGAACUGGAUUUAGGUAGGUCUAGUGUUUUUGUAAUGCUGAGCACUCCUCCAUCUUUAGUUGCAUCUUGGACAAUAGCCUGCUUUGUCUGAGCAAACUGACUAUAGGAAGUUGUUCGAGGGUUUCUCUUUGGGUUCUCAACCCCACAAAGAAUAUUCUAUAAUGCAAAAAUUAAAAGUUUAUUUUCAAAUUGCAAGUGUAUGAAAUUUAUGCAGUAUUUACCUAGAUAAAUCCUGUGAAAAUUAAGCUGUUGCACAGAAUCUAGAGAACCCCAGAGAACUGAAGUUUCAUGCAUAUCUGUCUCCAUUCCCUCAGGUACCUCUUUGGGCUUGGCCUAAAGACACCUGGAGCACACUGGGUCUUUCAAGGAUUAUUGGCUUUUAAUGUGCAGCCAGAGCCUUUUUUCUUCAAGUCUAUCUUUGACCCCAGCCAACCCACAAUGGAAGCACUGCCCCAUGUUCCCAAUCUGUAAGCAUGCAUCUCCAUGCUUCUCAGGCAAUGUUUCCGAUGUGGCUCUGCAAGCAUUCUGCCUAUAAGUCCUUCUAAAUCUCUGCUUUGUCAUUUCUGCCUGCUAGGCACCAUGAGUUGGGUUUUGUUCUUUCUGAACUCAUUGGACUCAUAUCUGACAUGAAUUGUAUUCUAUCCAAACAACUUCUCUUUCUUGUGGCACUUUUAAAAUAUACUUAUGUUUUCUACUGGUAGAAUAAAAUGUGUAUACUUUUGUGGAUAAUGAACAAGACAUGAACCAAAGCCUUUUAAAGUGAAUGGGAAGAUCCCUUUUCUAGACCCAAAUGCAAUUUGAAAACAUUCAUUGCUGUAAGAGCCAAAAGACCUGUCAGAAAAACAAGGAAGGUCUUGAAACAGGACAGAGACGUACUCGGAAGUUUUUACUAUGACAGCUGUGUACCUUCAGCUGAAGUUUUUCUUAAGAAUGAUCAGCUUGUGCAUGGCUUAUUCAGGGGUGCUGAGGGCACUUGUUUGCUUUUUAUCUCCCUGUUGGCACAAAAAGAAAUAAAAGCAAAUGGCUGGUAUAGCCUGUAUUUACUUGAAUUGAAAACUGUCCUAGGAACUGAACCAAUAGCCAAGUACAAGCAACAGACUUAAAAAGGAACUGUUUAAGAUGUGCUGGCUUGUAGAUGGAGGUAAGCAAGUCACAAGUUAGCCCAGCCUCCUAAAGAAAAUCUAGUUGCCCCUAGUCCUGUUCUGGACAGACUGGUACUUGAGGUGUGUGUGCUGCAUGUCGUCCCUAAGGAAGAUGCAAUUCUUGUAGCCCUGCAGCAUUGCAAAGCAAACCUGUAGCAUUGCAGGUUUCCUUUUGCUGACAGUUUCUGGAAGCAGUUGUCUAAGAAACAGCAGCAGCCAUGUGUAUGUGCAUCCCAGGAACAACUGGUGUACCUCCCCAUGCCUUUUCCCACCCAUCCUCAACCACCAAGACCCUUCCUAGCAGAUAUCCUGGCCCAGAGGAAGGUCUUUUCUUCUUCUAGGAGGUAAAUGUUUAGUUGCUUACAUAGAACAAAUCAUUUUGAUUUGCUUUUCCUUUUUCAACAGCUUCAGGAAUGUUAAAAAAAACCUUCAGCAGACAGGGUAGUUUGUUUCUAUGGAAGCUGACUGAGGAAACUGUUGAUUUUCUUCAUUUUAAUCUGAAUUACUAGUUCAACCCCUGCCCAGAGUAGAAAUAUACCCCUAUAAUCACCAUCUGAAAGCUGCCCAGUGCAGGGCAAGAUGAAACAACUGGUAGAUUUUCAGGCUACAGAAAAAGCAGUGUAAAGCUCUGGUUUGCUUUACUUCAUGCAGUAUUCCUUAGGAACUCUCUUAAGGAGCUAACCCAUUUGCUGUAGUUCAAGGUCACACAUUUUUAGGAAGACCAGUGACCCUUGUGUGUCUGUGAGCUGGACAACAGCAGCUCCCUCAGGCUGCAGCUCCAGCAGCAGAGCCAGGGGUCCAGGUGCUUCCAGGCAGAGCCCCUGCCUGCAGGUGCUGCUGCCAGCUGAAAUACUUGGCCUGGGCAUGGCUGAGACACUAUAUGCAUACCUGCCUCUUUCCUUUUAAUGGGUAAACGGGGCCUUUUGAUCUACUGAACCAUUAAACCAGCGCCUUCCUAUCAUCAAAGCACUUCUUUAUUGUCUUCCAGUUAUAUCAGUCUGGAACAAUACGCUCCCAUUGAGAACUGUUUAACUGCUAUUGUUCCAUUUAAUGCCUAUUACAAAAUCUUUGUUUACUUUGUAUCUAGACAGCUCUAAUCUCACCUCUAUAAUCACUUCUAUUUCUCCUACUGGGAGAAUAUAUAAUCUUCCUUCUCAGGCUCCACUCAGUGUUGUCAGCUUCCAUUAACUUACUGUAACUCUCAAUAUUUUUCUCUAAGCCCCGGGUUCCCUGAGUCACAUGAGUACGUGAGAAGCUUAGCUUUCAUUACCAAACCAUGCUUCUAGCUUACGUGGCUGCCAGUAAAGCUUGAAGACCUGAAUCCGAAGGGCUCUGAAACUAUAGAGGACAUGAAAUGUCUCCCGUGUAUUUAUAUAUAAGAAAAAAAAAUCCUAGUCUUGAAGCAAAUCCUCUCCUUUUGGGCAUUAAACUUUCUGAUAGCUUAGACUGAUGAUACUGAGGAGGAGAUUUGCCAAUGUAAUUAUAGCAGCAAAGCUGCUGCUGGGACUAAGGCAGCAACAGCGGGUAGAUGGAGAAAAGGAUGAAGUAUUUGAGACUGAGUGACAGGUAUUUCUGGCACUGAAAGACUAUAGUAAGACCUAUUAAAGUGACUAUAAGAAAUCUGUUUUAAAGCUUGGAUGUUUCCAAACGGUGCCUUAUCAGAAAAGCCCAAGCUAAAAUAACACAAUAGUGUCACUCAGUAUGUGGAUUGUUAAUGUGCAAUAUAAAUGUCAUUACUUAAUGUCUUUGGGAAGUAAAGAAUUUGCAAUGUAGAAGAACAGUCAGUGGGUAGUCUCUGUCAUUGCAGGUGCAAUGUUUUAUAUUAUGGCACAGAAAUCCAUCUUGAAAACAGGUAGGCUUUUCUUUUCUGCUGUUCUUUUUCUUGUAUUUUCUUCUCUUUCUUGUCUUCCUCUGUCCUCUCAUUUUUCCCUUUUCCAUUGGAUUGUCAUGAUGCUCAGAAUCACCGUAGUUUCUGUCUAAAUCUGUCUAAUCUUUAUGGAAGAUAUGCUUUUAUAGUGAGAAUUAUGCUAGGUUGCAUUAACUUGAAUCUCUUCUUAGUUUCUAAUGUGAUUGUAUGACACAACACUGUAUUUCAGGAAAUGCACAGAGUUGGCAUACACAGCUGUGAUAAUGAUUGCAUAAUAAAAAGGUGUACUGACAGUUACGGGAAUGAAAAUGGUCUUGUACUACAGGUUGAUUCCUGCUCCUGCUGUUCUUUAUUCUUAAUAUUUCAAAGGUUUGCUUACUAUGCGCGUACAUAUAUAUAUAUAUAUAUAUAUUUAAAUAUAACUCCACAGUUAAUCUUGUGGAGUUUGCUGGGAUUUUGUAUACCACACUGAGUUGCAUGGACUAAAAACAAAAAUAGUCCUCAGCUCCAAGACUCCGAAUUGCUGAAACAAUGCUUGUGUUGAUGGAUACUGUCCUCCCAGUUCUGCAAGAAAAGCACCUAAAAGCCCUUUUCUGCUCCCAUUGUCAAUCUAGAGAGGGAGGUUUCACAGCCGCAUAUUUACCAAGAAGGCACCCAACUUGAUUUUUCAGACUCUGUAUUUGGGUACUUUAUUUCCGCAAGGCAACACUAGUGUUGCUAUACUUCUUUCUGUAAAGAAGAUACAAUAUUGAAUCAAAUUAUUAACCUCAUUUCCACCUCUAUAUGCCUGUUCUGUCCCCUAAAUCUUUCUUAAACUGUAUAGGCAGCUCAGGAAUGAAUAAAAACCUGGACAUGUACAUGUGGUUGGUAUGACUAAUUAUUGGAUUGCCUACUACAAGACACUAUUUCCACACCCUAAUUUUUUGCUGCUUAGCUUGAAAUUC